GGGACACGUGGUAUCCUGUCUGAAUAUGGGGGGACCAUCCUCCAAGGCUAAAUACUCCUGACUGACCGAUAGUGAACCAGUACCGUGAGGGAAAGGCGAAAAGAACCCCGGCGAGGGGAGUGAAAAAGAACCUGAAACCGUGUACGUACAAGCAGUGGGAGCCUCUUAAUGGGGUGACUGCGUACCUUUUGUAUAAUGGGUCAGCGACUUAUAUUCUGUAGCAAGGUUAACCGAAUAGGGGAGCCGAAGGGAAACCGAGUCUUAACUGGGCGUUAAGUUGCAGGGUAUAGACCCGAAACCCGGUGAUCUAGCCAUGGGCAGGUUGAAGGUUGGGUAACACUAACUGGAGGACCGAACCGACUAAUGUUGAAAAAUUAGCGGAUGACUUGUGGCUGGGGGUGAAAGGCCAAUCAAACCGGGAGAUAGCUGGUUCUCCCCGAAAGCUAUUUAGGUAGCGCCUCGUGAAUUCAUCUCCGGGGGUAGAGCACUGUUUCGGCAAGGGGGUCAUCCCGACUUACCAACCCGAUGCAAACUGCGAAUACCGGAGAAUGUUAUCACGGGAG
rnacentral:rRNA from 1 species